GUGUCACUGAAGUUUGUGCUGAGUAAAUGAUGGAGCAUGAAAUAAAAUGAUUUAUACCACUUUUCCCCCCAAUAGGCAGUGAUUUUUAAUGUUUUUCUCCUUCCGAAAGAAGGCGUGGGUGUUGAAAGUGAUUUUUGAUUGUUUUUCUUAAGUGGUCCAAGACCACAACAUUCUAAGAGCCGCCCUCCCUUCUUUCCCACAUGGUUGACUCUUGCUUGAACUUUCACAAUUUGCAAACAUUAGAAUGUUCUGACAGCUUCACUGGAGAUUCUCUAAUCUGACCCAUCAGAAUGGAAAUUGGAGGCCAAGCCUUUCAGGAGUUGCUGGAAUCUGCACUUAAAGUGGUGUGAUCCAAGUCUUGUUCUCACUGGGUUUCUCUUUCAAGACAAUUGCACUAGGGUUAAGUUGAUUGGUUUUAUGGCAUCAUGUAAAGUUAAUUUUUUAAAAAAUCAUUGCUUGUGAACUUGGGGCCCUAAAUAGAAAUAUUUUGCACAUGUGUGGCCCCAAGCUCUGUGAGGGAGUGUAGUAACAUCAGUUCUCCAGAGGACGUGAGGCAGGGGUGGAUGCUGCCCUGCCCUCCUACCCCAACUGUUUGCAGACUCAGCCCAUCUAAUUCCUCCUUAAAUUUGUUCUUGUCUCCUUUAUCUCAGUUAGUGGUGCAGCCAUCCUCCUGACGCCCUAGGUUCACCUCUGAGUUCAUGUUCUCACACCCUUAAGGAUCGCCAUGUCUGCCCCUAUCUCCUACACCUUGCCAACAAAGCAGGAAUUGCCUAGAGUCACGGUCUGAUCCAAGUUGCUUCCCUGCUCAAAACUGGUGUCUGUAGAAUCUAGGCCAACCUUGGAGCCAGCAGAUGACUUUUCUAGCUCAGCUUCCUCUUUACCUGAGCUCCAGCCACAUGAACUGACUCAGUGUGUCUUGUGUUUUCCCAGCUCUUGGUGUUUGUUUAUGCUGGACCCCUUGUAUUAGUUUUCUAGGGCUGCUGUAACAAAAUACCACAGACUUGGUGGCUUAAACAACAUAAAUUUAUUUUCUCACAGUUCUGUAGGCUCAAAGUCCAAGAUGAAAGUGUCAGGAGAAUUGAUUUCUUCUGAGGCCUCUCUCCUUGGCUUGCAGAAGGCUGUGUUCUCACUGUGUCUCUAUAUGGCCUUCCCUCUGUGUGUCUAUCUGUGUCCUGAUCACCUCCUCCUCCUCUUCUUUUCUCUCUCUCUUUUUUUUUUUUGGAGGCAUGAUCUCCUUCUAUCUCUCAGGCUGGAGUACAGUGGCGCCAACACAGCUCACUGCUGCCUUGAACUCUUGGGCCCCAGUGAUUCUCCCACCUCAGCUUCCCAAGUAGAUAGGACUACAGGUGUAUACCAUCACCUAGCUAAUUUUUUUAGAGAUGGGGUCUUGCUAUGUUGCCCAGGUUGGUCUUGAGCUCCUGGCCUCAAGCAGUCCUCUCGCCUCGGCCUCCCAAAGCACUAAUCUCUUCUUCUUGUGAAGACACCAGUCAUGUUGGAUUAGGGCCCACCCUAAUAACCUCAUUUUAACUUAGUUAUCUCUUUAAAGACCCUGUCUCCCAUUCUGAGAAUCUGGGUUAGAACUGCAACAUACAAAUUUCUUUUGGGGGAUGGGUACAAUUCAGCCCGUAAUACCCUUGCCCUAGGAAAGCCCUUAUUUCUACCUUUGCCUGUCAAACUCCUACAUGUUCCAGGCUCACUCUGAAUCAAACACCUACAUGUUCAAGGCUCACUCUGAAUGUCACGUUUCCAUGAACUUCUCCUUAACUCUGUGCAUGGUUGCUUAGCUGCCUUUUAUGUUCUGGGAGGCCCCCAUGACAGCCAAGUCCCCAGGCGCAACUGCUGUGAUGAAGGCUGGAUUUUUGCUUCCACCUCUUGGGGACACAAGGCUUGUAUAGCCCCUGGGGCCCACGAGGCUUGUAUGGCUUCUGGGGCCCUGCUGUUCCCACCACAAGCAGUCCCCUUGGGCUAAGCAUCACUCAGGGUAUACCAUGUGUGGCCAUCUGUAUAAUUCAUGAGGGAGGACUGUGUCACCCAGGCACUGCUGCUCAUUUGCAAGAAUUAUGGGCUUUGACAGAACUCCCUGUCAUGCAGGCCUCCUUGUCAUAUCUGUGGUAAUUACUAUUCCUCUUCUAAUUACUUAUCUUAUCCACAUGGCCCCUUUCAGCUGCAGCACAGGAGACUCCUGUCCUCUUCUGCAGAGGCAGCUGUGUCACUGCCACUGCUUCCGUGGCCCCCGAGGCACAGCCUCUGCUGAGGCCUCCUUUCUGGAUUCUGAGCCGUGCCUCAUUUAGACCAUUGCUCUGAAGGACCACAGGCCUGGGAGGAGGCCUUUAAGCCUGUGUGCAGCUGAUCACCAGCUCCAAGCUACCAGCAUUCACCUUGGGAGGAGGCAGCUCUCCCCCAAGAUUACAACUUGCUCCAAGUCAGGUGGAGAAAAAUAGCAAAGAGAACAUCAUAUUUAAGAGUUUGAAUGUGCUGAGUGGAUGCUUUGGAAACCUAACCUCAGGCAAAAGGUCCUUGGUUCAGGCUUGGUGACUGAUGUUGCAUUGUCUGCUGUUAAUAGCCUAGAGAUUGAAGACCCAAGUAGGCCAUAUUUUUGCCUGUCAACAGCGAAUCUCCAAUCUUUUAACUUCUUUAGUUUCAAUAUUUGAUUUUGCUUGGGUUCACCUCUACAGUUGCUUUGCCUUGUCCCUGGUCACCUUACUAUAUUUGACUGAAUUAAGCUUUCUGUUUCAAUGUAAGUACUUAGUAUUUUGCAUUUAAAAGGCUGUUCUUUAAUAACUUUGGAGGAAGUUGACUGAUUUUAAUGAAAUUCUGUCCAUUAUAAAAGGCAUUCACAUACACCUCAGGUUUAAUUUAAAUGCAGUCUGUCCCCUUGAAAUGAAAUGGCAAUGGGCAAAAGUCUCCAAAAAGACCAUUUUUUUCAAUAAUACAUAAGGAUUUCCGUGGAAAUUGGUGCAUUUUUACAAGGUAUGGAGAUAUUGUCCCACCUGUGUGAACCUGCCUAAAAGAGUAUCUCUGUGUAACAGUGAUGGUGAGUUAGAAAUGGAGCUCUCUUGUCUCAAUGCCUGACUUCAGUCUGAUCUUUGCACUACUCCUUGACUGCUGACCUCACUCCCCGCCCUGCCAUGUACAUCCUCUGUGUACCCUGGGAACUUGUAUGUAGUUAAUUGUAUCUGGACCUGCACCCCCAGCUUCUUUCUUGGCUUCAUUUAAUCUCUCUCUUGGCUUCCUUGCCUUCAGGGAUCUCCUUCAAGGCAGGGCCAUUUCUGGUUUCCUCCAGCUCCCAGGGCUCCUUCCUGCAACAGAAAAUGUUCCUGCCUUCACAGAGCUUACAUUUUAGUAAGUGGAUUGGGAGGUUGCGGCCAAGUGUAUAGUGAGGUGACGCUUAGGGAAAGCUUAGGCUGCUCUGAGAACACCUGAAAAGUACACCCAACCGGCUUGGUGUGGUGGCUCACACCUGUAAUCCCAGCACUUUGGGAGGCCGAGGCGGGUGGAUCACGAGGUCAGGAGAUUGAGACCAUCCUACAUAACACGGUGAAACCCCGCCUGUACUAAAAAUACAAAAAAUUAGCCGGGCGUGGUCACAGGCGCCUGUAGUCCCAGCUACUUGGGAGGCUGAGGCAGGAUAAUGGCAUGAACCUGGGAGGCAGAGCUUGCAGUGAGCUGAGAUCGCACCACUGUACUCCAGCCUGGGCAACAGAGUGAGACUCUGUCUAAAAAAAAAAAAAAAAAAGUACACGCAACCUUGGGAGGAAGGAAGGGCAUCAGGAAGAGGCAUCCUGAAGGAGCCACUCAUUCAUUCAUUCAUUCAUUUACUCACUCACUUUAUAGAGCCAAACAUGUACUGGGUAGUCACUGGGAAACAGCAGUGAAAAAGCAGGCAGCAUCUCUGUCCUCAUAAAGCUUGUAUUUUAGUGAGGAGAGUUGGCCAAGUAAGGUGGCCUUGGGAGCUGAAGAGUGUUUCAGGCAGAGGGAACACAACAGACGAUGUCCAGAUCUCAGGCAGAACGAGUGUAUUCAAGGGACACAAACAGGUACUGGGUAGUCACUGGGAAACAGCAGUGAAAAAGCAGGCGGCAUGUCUGUCCUCAUAAAGCUUGUAUUUUAGUGAGGAGAGUUGGCCAAGUAAGGUGGCCUUGGGAGCUGAAGAGUGAUUCAGGCAGAGGGAACACAACAGACAAUGAACAAGUGUAUUCAAGGGACACAAACAGGGAAGGCAGAGGCCAGAUCACAAAGGGACUUGUAAACCAUUUGUUAAGGCAUCUGGACUUUAUUCAUAGGCUAAGGGCUUGCCAUUUUCAAGGGUUUUAGGAGAGUGGCACAGUCAUGUUUGUACUUUAGAAAGAUCACUGUGGUUGUUGUGGAGAGAAUGGGCUGCGGGUGCAGGUUAGCAGAUGAGUUAGGAGGUUGUAGAGUCUUCCAAGACAAGGCAGAGGCCUGCAUUGGAGCAGUGGAGUGUGGAAGGAGAGUAGAUGAACCUGAGGGGAUUUUAGAGGUGGUUUUGAUGGUAUUUGUGUUGAGUGGAUGUGGAGGGGUGAG
rnacentral:lncRNA from 1 species